GGCUUGGUCUUAAUACCCAACUGAGUGAUUUACAAACCCAGAUAUUGUACAUUUAGAAACGUUUUGUUAAAUAUAUAUUUUUAAAACAACGUGUAAGUGGAAAUUCUGAUAAUUUAUGUGUAUUAUAUGUAAAGCUAGUUUUGCAAAAAAAAAAGAAAAAAAAACAGAAGAACAUGACUUACUAGGAAAUUUUUUUCUUUAUUUGGGUUUAUUUUAUUUAUUUAUUUUUGUUUAUAUAUUAUGAAGCCUAUUGUUCACACAGAUCUUAUUUUCAUACCACCCUGGACCAAAUACUAUUCAAGGUGCACGCCGUUUGGUGCGUUCUUGCGGUGAGCCACGUGGAAAGAGAGAAGAGAAGGGAUUUUAAAAAGGCACAAGCCUGUGCCAGACCCUCUGUGUGCGGCUCAUGUGACAAAAAUGCCAGUUCUCUAAUCUUCAAGGACAAGUCACGGUGGCAUUUUCUCUCUUAGUCUCUGUCAUUCAGGAGAAUGGUGGACUCUGCUCUGUGUCAGCCCCGUCCCUAAAGUCGUGAUGUUAGGAAGGGAUGGCGAGCAGCCCGUCUUUAGGAUGAUAUAUUGCCUAGGGUGAGACUUUUUUUUUUUUUUUUUUUUUGCUCUAGGAUAAAUAAGUGAACUUGGAUUUCCAAGACUUUUCCUUCCAUAUGAACUUUACUGUCUUGGUUGGCCUUCUGGGGGUGUUGAGGAAAAAAACAAAACUCAGUCCAAACCUGAACAAUAAAUCUUUAAUUUUUGUUUUUUCUUUUUUAAGCUGAGAGAAUACAAGCAAAGCCUUAUCCAGCAUGUAGGUCUCCUUGCCCCACUGGCCCUAGCCUACUGGAGCCUCCAGUAGCUGACUUUAUGUCAUCCAGUUGGAAGUCUGCACUGGGGGAGAGUUUGGGUGUGAGUUGAUGAAGAGAUGGGAAAUGGAAGGGACCUGUCGUUGUGGUUGGGACCUCACACCUAUUUGAGAUCAUGUGCUUAGAGAAAAUUAGACCAUGGGGCGUGCGUGGGGUUCCAGGCUAGUUCUAGAUGGGUGACAACCUUGACCGCUGUUCUUUCUCUUCAAUUCCCUCUGAGUUUCCCAGCCUUUCUCAGCCCUUCCUUGGUGACAGCCGGGCACAGCGCAGAGUCUGCACAGCUUGUGGAGGGGAGGUGGGCUGCAAAAGUAGAGAUGGUUCUCUUUGGCUGCCCUUGAAUGGGAAUAGCUGCCCCAGUCACAAGUGGGAGGGAUACAUGGCCCUAAGCUCUGAAGGAUGCAGACAGUUGAACGUUUGCAUGAGAAUUAGUGACCUGGCUCUAGACUAUGGCUCCCGCGUAUGCACAUGGCUUUGUGGGCCUUAGAAUGACCUUGCUUUGCUCUAUAGAAAUGCUUUAGAGCUCAGAAGGGUUCAGGAAGAAAAGAGUUUAAGUCCCUAUUCUCCACCAGCCUGUGCCACCUUGGCCAUGGGGAGCCUGAGAGUACAGUCACCUUGGCUGUAUUUGGUCACAGGAAAAAGAAAUUGGAGCAUGUGGCCCCCUGGAGUCCCUAUAGAACACUGUAGGAGCUGUGGGCUGACUGGGGUGUAGAGAAUUAAGGAGCCUGAGCCUCUUGUCCCUUCUCUGCUGGGAUGAGCUCCAUGUACACUUAACCCCACGCCCUUAAGACAUCUCCUGUUCUUUACAUGUCUGAGUAACUCUUUCAGAUCGCUGCCUCCUCUAUAGGAAACACCUCCCCCAAACCUUUCUGAUUAGCUUCUGAUCAAGCCAGUUUUGUCCAUAGGGAAGCAAGUUGUCAGGAUUCUCUCUAGAAAUAGCACGGGAUGUUUAGAAAUCCCUGUGAUCAGCAGUCAUCUUUGACUCCUGAGCAUACAACCAGAUAUGCUUUCUCUCUUGGCCAUUUGAUGGGCGCCACACUUCCGAACAUACUGAGGAUCUGUGAUGACUGAGGUAGACACUGACCAUUUCUGAGGUGGGAUUUACACCCCUUGUUUUUAAAGACUGUGUUCCGUCUGUUGGAAGGAGGUAGAUCUGCCACAUGGACACAAGGCAUUUAGUCAACCUCCUGGGCUGGCCAAACCACAGGAGUUGGCAUUUUCAGGCUGGCUGUUUGGGUAGUGUGGAGUUGGAAUCCAGGUGACCCACAUAUAGCAGAUUGAGCUGGGAUGGAAAAUUCAGUGGUUGUGUCCAGGUUACCCCCAAAGCUUUAUUGAGGUCAGGUGCUGGCUCUCUCAUCUUUUUACUUUGUACCCCAUUGUCCUCUCUCCUCCCAUGAGGUCCUUUUGCUUGACCUGUUACUCUCCUUGUUCCUUUUCCUACCACCCUUUCCUAGGGCCCAAGUAAAUCUUUUGAGGAAUUUUAGAUGUCUUUGCAGGCCUGGUGUAUGUGUCCCUAUUGAACUUGGAAGGGCAGCUAUGAGUGAGAGGUAGAGGCUUCCUCUUCUAAGUCAAGGUUCCCUCUAGCAAGCCAUUUGAGACUCUCCUCUGUUUACCACAACCUUGGUGGUGGCAACUCCCAUAUGACCCGGCUGGGGUUAAGUGCUCAGAUCCCAGGCGACUUUUGAAGAGUUAUGGUUAAGAUGGCCAGACCACCUCAGCACUGGGAAGCCACCACCUAAUGUGGGUGUUCUUGGGUGACCCUUUACUGGGCAGAAGUAAAGUCCGAGGGAAACACAUAUGCAGAGAAAGGCGGGGACUGGGGGAAAAUGGGGAAAUGACGUAAAAUCUUACUCUGUGGCAUAAAUCAAACUGGGAAAUAUCCUCUCGGAAGCGGGAAAAGAUGAUUUCCCUGAGUGAAGUUCAACCUGAGGACGGGAAAAUAAUGACAGGAGACACUGGGCAAGGCAUAUUUAAAUCUCCGAAUCCCUCUUUUACAAAUAGCCUUGACUGAACGCUGAGUCCUAUCCCUCACUACUAACUGCUGGUUUCCAAAAUCCUCUUAAAAGGUUUG
rnacentral:lncRNA from 1 species